rnacentral:misc_RNA from 1 species
AACGCACCUUGCGCUCCUUGGUAUUCCGAGGAGCAUGCCUGUUUGAGUGUCAUGAAAUUAUCAAUCUCAUUAUCUUUUGCAAGCUUAAUGAGGCUUGGAUAUUGGAAGUUGCUAGCGCUCCAUUGAGAACUAGCUCUUCUUAAAUGUAUUAGCAGAACCUUUGCUGAUCAUCUUUGGUAUGAUAAUUAUCUAUACCACAGACUCGGUGUCCUUCACGGGGAAGGUUUUGCUUCUAAUCGUCUAUUCAGACAACCAUGAUCAAUUUGACCUCAAAUCAGGUAGGACUACCCGCUGAACUUAA